rnacentral:tmRNA from 15 species
GUGGCAGGAUGAACAGGCUCGUCUUCGGACGAACUAGGUGGUCCACACCAGUGUCUCGGACAGCGGUUCGAUUCCGCUCAGCUCCAUUCCCCCGACCCACCGCCCCGCAGGCGGUGCGUCAUCCCGGGGCUGCAAUGGUUUCGACGGGGCAUGAGGAGGGUGACUGAAGCCUGCUCGGUCAGAGCGAACCCGUAACAGCGAACAACAUCGUUCGUUUCUCCCGUCAAGCCGCCCCCGUGGCUGCCUGACACUCUUAACGGAGACGGGGUGAGGUCAGCCUUGUCACCCAAAUGACCCAUGGGGCCUGGAAGGGCCC